rnacentral:rRNA from 2 species
AAACUUUCAACAACGGAUCUCUUGGUUCCGGCAUCGAUGAAGAACGCAGCGAAAUGCGAUAAGUAGUGUGAAUUGCAGAAUUCCGUGAAUCAUCGAAUCUUUGAACGCACAUUGCGCCCUCUGGUAUUCCGGGGGGCAUGCCUGUCCGAGCGUCAUU